CAUGAAUGAAGCGCCCGUAUACAUGUAAACAACCGAUACUGGCGAUAGCGACUUUCAUUCAGCUACCAACAUGAUCAAAAGAAAUGUUUCUACCAGUUACUCUUGAGUCACCUCCAUUCCCUUAUCCCAAAUUGAUAUUAAAAGAGAAUGUUGAUGAGCCUGAUCCGUCGAUUCAAAUACCAUAACUCAGCCAACCCAAAAAAAACAACAGCAAACAAGUGAGCAAGCUGACAAAGCUGCAACUUCAGGGAGCAAUUAUAAGGGUCAUCAAGAUGGAGCCAGGAUUCAUGAUGCUCGUAUUAGAGGUGCUGGACCAGAGUCUGAGGAAGGGAGUAGAACUCCAAGCUGGUUUGAGUGUGCUUCAACUGCCGGGACAUUUCAAUGCAGAGUUAAAAAGACUCUGACCUCCUUGUUUUGAAUGAAGAAGUUCUAACCCUUGCCCAUUUGAUGAGGCAGGAUUUCUUGUGUUCAUUGAUGAGGAGGACCAGGCACACCCAACCGCUACUAGGCGACUUAUAUUGUGUUCUGACACAGAGUUAUUUUUGGGCUGGUGACAAGAGGGCUAUUCCCUUAUGUUGUGUGGAGAGUCCAGGAAACCUUCCCGAUUCCCUAAGAACAAUACACUGGCCUUGUGCAAAGGAGGGUUCAGUAGAUGAACACAAUUUUUGCAGACGGAUCGUAUCUGUUCUCUUGAUUUUCUUAAAUAUUAAAAUAUGAUAUAAACAAUAUCAGGUCAUUUUUGUAUACUUUUGUGAAUGACUUGUUAUUUUAUAAAUACUGAUUUGUACUGUCUUUGGUUGCUAAACUGUCAUUAAGUAAUUUUCUCGUUUCAAUUUGAAAGCCAGAAAACCUGCAUGUUAUGUAUACUCAUGUUAUUGUUUAUAUUUAUGCCCCCUCCGAGGAAGAGGGGUAUAUUGCAUUGCACAUGUUGGUCGGACGAUUCGCAGCUUUGUUGGUAGACCAAAGCUUGUCUAAGUGAUAACUCAACAACUGAAGGACAGAUGGUUAUCAAACUUGACAUGAAUGUUGGGCCUGACCAGUAGAUAACCCUAUUGAUUUAAGGGGUCAUCAGGUCCAAGUUCAAGAUCACAGUGACCUUUAAUGGUAUAAAGUUGUUAAAGCUUGUCCGAGAAAUAACUCAAAAAUACCUGAACGUACGGUAUGGUUAUCAAAUUUGACAUGGAGGCUGGGCCUGAUUAGUAGAUGACCCCUAUUGAUUUUAGGAGUCAUUGGGCCAAUGGUAACAGUCACAGUGACCUUUAAGUUGAAAAGGUUAACAAAGAUUCUCUGAGUGAUAUCACAACAAUGUCUGGCCCUAUGAUCAUCAAACUUGACAUUGAGGCUGGGUAUGACCAUAACUGAUUUAAGGAGUCAUUGGCCCUAAGUGACGAAAGUGCGUUAAGAAUGAACGAGUGAUAAAUCAACAAUGCCUGCACCCAUGGCUCUCAAACAUGAUAAGGGAAUUUGGCUUUACCAGUAGAUGGUUCAUUUUGAUUUCAGGGGUAAUCAGGUCAAAGGUGAAGGUUACAGUGACCUUGAAAGCAUAUUCGUGUGAUUACUUGACAAUGCCUGCACCCAUGGUUCUCAAACUUGCCAUCUAGGUUGGGGGUGACCAGUUGAUGAUCUUAUAGAUCUUGAAGUCAGAGGUCAACCUAUAUGCAUGAUUAAGUAUUUUGUCAUAUUUACUUAUUUCCUGCUGCUGAAAGGAUAUAUUUUUAUCUGCAAAUAUCAGUCAUCAUCUGAACAUGAUUUAGAACUUUACUUACUAUCCUCACACUUUGAACGGUCAUAAUCUUAAAACUGCCGCAAAGGCAUCUAAUGUCAAUGACAAGUCAGCUGUCAUUUCAGUCUUUGCAUAUUUAAUUCAAUUUGCGGAAAAAGCCUGACAACUUGGCGCUCCUCAAGGGGAGGGGGUUCAUAUGUUUGACAAACAUCUCUUGUUUUUCUGUUUAAAAACGCUUUCAAAUGACACUCAAGCAAUAUGUCUGUUUGAAUCCAAAUUUCACAUUUUAUCUUUAAAAUGUGUCAUACCUUUCUCAACCUUGUUUAGAAAUAAUAAAAUGGACCUAAAGCAGGCUCAAUUUUGAUACAGCCCAUUUCUUAAGUAGAACAAAGAUUAAUGCAAAAAAACACUUUCCCACAAAGAAGUAAAUAACUGAAAUAAAACCAUGAAGAUCCCA